rnacentral:lncRNA from 1 species
UUGACACAAUAAUCACCAAAGGCUCUAGACAUUGCCAGCCCCGGACAUUCCUCAUUCGGAAGCCAGACUCUGUGCACUCCUGGCUCAUCUUCUAAACAGAAGACCCGUCCCUUGCAUUGAAUUAUCCGCUCAGCUUCGUCUGCAAAUACAAUCAAGAAUAAUAUAAACAACUCAUGAUUUUUUUUUUUUUUGUGUUGGAGAGAGAGAGUGUGUGUGUGAGAGAGAGAGAGAGAGAGAUACAGACAAGGUAAGUUGGGCUUGAAAUCAACUGUUAGCUGAACUGGAACCAAGCUUCCAUCUUCUGAAGUGGUGGCUAAUACAGCUCGUGAGUCGCCAACAUUAGCAACCAUUAUGAAUUCACCCUG